UUCUUUGUUACAGUUAUAUUAAUAUUCUGGUAUUCAAUGUAUAAUGAAGGAAUGUUGAAUAAUUUGGAAUAAUUUUGAAUUACUUAAAUAUGUAUAACUAUUGCUUGAUUUUAAUGAAAAUGAAAUAAAACAAAUGUACAUUACUGACAACAUAUAAGAAGCCGUUCGGUUUGCACCUUAAACAUUUCUGAAGACUUAUCUUCCCUUGAUGAAAAAAGAAAAUUUGAAUUUAUCAAAAUAUCUGCGGUAAAAGAUUCAUUUAUUUUCAUAUUUUAAUAAAAAGAACGAUUAUGCAUAUAAUCUGGUUAGUUUUGCAAAAUUAUACCUAAAUGUCAGUUUCGAAUGCUUUUUUUUAUGUUUUUUAUGGUAUAGCUGAUUAUUAAUAAAAUUGUGUUGAAUAUAUUAUAUUUGUUUUUAAUUGACAUAAUUAAUUAUAUAGGAAUUGAUUUUGUUAUUUGUGUUUAUUGUUAAAAAAAUAUACAUAUACAAGACGCUUUGAUAAUAAAUUGUAGUAAUUCAUG
rnacentral:sRNA from 1 species